UAAAUCCAUUUAUACACCCUUGUGAACUGUGCGCUGAAGUUGCUACGCUUGUCGUGCAUCUUUCGUUGCAAAAACUACUUAAUUUAAGAAAGCUGAAGCAAUUAUUUUAAAUAAAA
rnacentral:misc_RNA from 1 species